AGCAGGAUGUUGUUAUGUCCGGGGAGGAGAACAAUGAGGGCUAUGUGAGUGGUACUGAUCCAAUUAUAUCAGGUUGUGGUUGGGCUCUCAAGGUGGAAGGUGGAGUGGUCUACUAAUUCCAGCAUGGAUGAAUGACUUAAAGUAUGUAGCAUGAUCUUAUUGGUCUACUCAAAUUGGUGAUGGUGAUUAUGCAUGGUUCACUCUCAGCUAGCAUUUCAUAUGGGCAUGAGAGAUGGUUGGAGCUAGAUAGUCGUGCUAAUUGUGUUACUACGAAGUAUGAAUACACUGGCGAAAUUCUUUGACUCAUUGGAUGCCAAACUUCAAUGGAAGUAUGAAUUUUGUGAUUUUGAUGAAGCACUCAAAAAGCAAUGGUUUGCAAUAAAGCUUCAGAUUAUAUGGUCUAUUCCAAAGACGGGUUUCUUAGAGGAAUUUUUGUUAACACUUGUGUUAUUGACAGUUCGUGUGACCAUUAUGUAUGAAAUUCAGGUAUCUGACCUCCUGUUUUGUGAGCUUAGUAGCUUCUGAUUGUAGUUUGCAACAUGUGACAUUUGAUAUGUAUGUGACUGAUGUUUGAAUGUGAAUGGGAUCAUGA